CCGAGUUUACAACUCCCAAACCCCUGUGAACAUACCAAUUGUUGCCUCAGCGGAUCAGCCCGCUCCCGGUAAAACGGGACGGCCCGCCAGAGGACCCCUAAACUCUGUUUCUAUAUGUAACUUCUGAGUAAAACCAUAAAUAAAUCA
rnacentral:misc_RNA from 1 species